GAUUGGAAGGGCUGGAAGACGACGGCCGGAUGAUGAUGGUGUAGGGGAUGGGAGUACCGAUUGGAAUACUGAAAAUUUAUAUAUUGAAUAGGUUUGGUGCUAAUUUGAAGUUUGUGAAAAAAAGUGAGAAAAAAAUUUUGAAUUUCAAAA
ensembl:ncRNA F56D12.11 ncRNA